rnacentral:rRNA from 1 species
CAGCAGCCGCGGUAAUACGUAGGUCCCGAGCGUUGUCCGGAUUUAAUGGGCGUAAAGCGAGCGCAGGCGGUUAGAUAAGUCUGAAGUUAAAGGCUGUGGCUUAACCAUAGUACGCUUUGGAAACUGUUUAACUUGAGUGCAAGAGGGGAGAGUGGAAUUCCAUGUGUAGCGGUGAAAUGCGUAGAUAUAUGGAGGAACACCGGUGGCGAAAGCGGCUCUCUGGCUUGUAACUGACGCUGAGGCUCGAAAGCGUGGGGAGCAAACAGGAUUAGAUACCCCGGUAGUCCCUGUCUCUUAUACA